rnacentral:siRNA from 1 species
GUCUGCCUGGGUGUCACA